rnacentral:rRNA from 1 species
CCUACGGGAGGCAGCAGUGAGGAAUAUUGGUCAAUGGGCGCGAGCCUGAACCAGCCAAGUAGCGUGAAGGAUGACUGCCCUACGGGUUGUAAACUUCUUUUAUAAAGGAAUAAAGUGAGGCACGUGUGCCCUUUUGUAUGUACUUUAUGAAUAAGGAACGGCUAACGUCGUGCCAGCAGCCGCGGUAAUACGGAGGAUCCGAGCGUUAUCCGGAUUUAUUGGGGUUAAAGGGAGCGUAGGUGGGUUGUUAAGUCAGUUGUGAAAGUUUGCGGCUCAACCGUAAAAUUGCAAUUGAUACUGGCAGCCUUGAGUGCAGGUGAGGUAGGCGGAAUUCGUGGUGUAGCGGUGAAAUGCUUAGAUAUCACGAAGAACUCCGAUUGCGAAGGCAGCUUACUAAACUGCCACUGACAUUGAUGCUCGAAAGUGUGGGUAUCAAACAGGAUUAGAUACCCGUGUAGUC